rnacentral:rRNA from 1 species
CAGCCGCGGGAAUACGUAGGGUGCAAGCGUUAAUCGGAAUUACUGGGCGUAAAGCGUGCGCAGGCGGUUAUAUAAGUCUGAUGUGAAAGCCCACGGCUCAACCGUGGAGGGUCAUUGGAAACUGUUAAACUUGAGUGCAGGAAAGAAAAGUGGAAUUCCUAGUGUAGCGGUGAAAUGCGUAGAGAUUAGGAGGAACACCAGUGGCGAAGGCGGCUUUUUGGCCUGUAACUGACACUGAGGCGCGAAAGCGUGGGGAGCAAACAGGAUUAGAUACCCCCGUAGUCCCUGUCUCUUAUACACA